rnacentral:rRNA from 1 species
ACGUAGCGAAAUGCGAUACUUGGUGUGAAUUGCAGAAUCCCGUGAACCAUCGAGUUUUUGAACGCAAGUUGCGCCCAAAGCCAUUAGGCUAAGGGCACGUCUGCCUGGGCGUCACGCAUCACGUCGCCCCCCCACCCCAAUGCCCACCUAGCUGGAUAUUGCGGGAGUCGGGG